rnacentral:rRNA from 1 species
AUUCCUUGAAAGAGUGCGUAAUAGCUCACUAGUCGAGAGUCUCUGCGCCGACAAUGUAACGGGGCUAAGAUAUGAACCGAAGCUGUGGAUGUCGUAAGACAUGGUAGGAGAGCGUUCUGUAGGCCGUCGAAGGAGGACUGAAAGGAACUCUGGAGGUAUCAGAAGUGAGAAUGCAGGAAUAAGUAGCGAGAAGGGGAGUGAGAAUCUCCCCCGCUGGAAGACCAAGGUUUUCAGGGUAAAGCUUGUCUUCCCUGA